rnacentral:ncRNA from 1 species
GCAUAAUGCACGUGGAACGUGGGAAUUCGGCCCUUGAGUGCAAAGGCAGAAGGGUGCUUGACUGCAAGACCCACCCGUUGAGCAGGGACGAAAGUCAGUCUUAGUAAUCCAACGGUGCCGAGUGGAAGGGUCGUCACUCAAC